rnacentral:rRNA from 1 species
GCAGCAGGCGCGAAACCUUUACACUGCACGUCAGUGCGAUAAGGGGAUCCCAAGUGCGCAGGCAUAGAGCCUGCGCUUUUCUGAACCGUAGGGAGGUUCAGGAACAAGUGCUGGGCAAGACCGGUGCCAGCCGCCGCGGUAAUACCGGCAGCACGAGUGAUGGCCGAUAUUAUUGGGCCUAAAGCGUCCGUAGCUGGCCUGUCAAGUCCGUCGGGAAAUCUACCAGCCCAACUGGUAGGCGUCCGGCAGAAACUGGCAGGCUUGGGACCGGAAGGCUCGAGGGGUACGUCCGGGGUAGGAGUGAAAUCCCGUAAUCCUGGACGGACCGCCGAUGGCGAAAGCACCUCGAGAAGACGGAUCCGACAGUGAGGGACGAAAGCUAGGGUCUCGAACCGGAUUAGAUACCCGGGUAGUCCUAGCCGUAAACGAUGCCUGUUAGGUGUGGCUCCCACUACGAGUGGGUGCUGUGCCGUAGGGAAGCCGCUAAACAGGCCGCCUGGGAAGUACGUCCGCAAGGAUGAAACUUAAAGGAAUUGGCGGGGGAGCACUACAACCGGAGGAGCCUGCGGUUUAAUUGGAGUCAACGCCGG